rnacentral:rRNA from 1 species
AGAGUUUGAUCCUGGCUCAGAAUGAACGUUGGCGGCGUGGAUUAGGCAUGCAAGUCGAGCGGAAAGGCCCGCAAGGGCACUCGAGCGGCGUAAGGGACAGUAAUGUGUAGGUACGUACCCCUGGGUCUAGGAUAGCUGCGGGAAACUGCAAUUAAUACUAGAUGACGUCUCCGGACCAAAGGUGUGAUUCCACCCAGGGAGCGGCCUACAUCCUAUUAGCUAGUUGGUGAGGUGACGGCUCACCAAGGCGAAGAUGGGUAGCAGGUGUGAGAGCACGACCUGCGUCACUGGGACUGAGACACUGCCCAGACACCUACGGGUGGCUGCAGUCGAGAAUCUUCGGCAAUGGGCGAAAGCCUGACCGAGCGACGCCGCGUGCGGGAUGAAGGCCUUCGGGUUGUAAACCGCUGUCGGAGGGGAUGAAAUGCCGGUGGGUACUCCCAUCGGCUUGACUGAUCCUCGGAGGAAGGGUGGGCUAAGUUCGUGCCAGCAGCCGCGGUAAGACGUACCACCCAAACGUUAUUCGGAAUCACUGGGCUUAAAGAGUCCGUAGGCGGCUCGGUAAGUUGGAUGUGAAAUACCUCGGCUCAACCGAGGAACUGCAUUCAAAACUACCGAGCUUGAGAGAGACAGAGGUAAGCGGAACUGAUGGUGGAGCGGUGAAAUGCGUUGAUAUCAUCAGGAACACCGGUGGCGAAAGCGGCUUACUGGGUCUCUUCUGACGCUGAGGGACGAAAGCUAGGGGAGCGAACGGGAUUAGAUACCCUGGUAGU